GACGAGGGGUCCUAGCGUUGUUCGGAAUCACUGGGCGUAAAGCGUAUGUAGGCGGCUCUAUAAGUCAGGUGUGAAAGCCCUGGGCUCAACCCAGGAAGGGCACUUGAUACUGUAGAGCUUGAGUAUGAGAGGGAGUAGUAGAAUUCUUGGUGUAGUGGUGAAAUACGUAGAUAUCAAGAGGAAUACCGGUGGCGAAGGCGGCUACUUGGCUCAAUACUGACGCUGAGAUACGAAAGUGCGGGGAUCAAACAGG
rnacentral:rRNA from 1 species